rnacentral:rRNA from 1 species
CACGUAGUUAGCCGUGACUUCCUCGCCGGGUACCAUCACUCAGAAAGCUUUCCGCUCUUUCUGCCUUUUGUCCCCGGCAACAGAGCUUUACGAUCCGAAGACCUUCCUCGCUCACGCGGCAUUGCUCGUUCAGGGUUCCCCCCAUUGACGAAAAUUCCCUACUGCUGCCUCCCGCAGGAGUCUGGGCCGUGUCUCAGUCCCAGUGUGGCCGUCCGCCCUCUCAGGCCGGCUAUGCAUCGUCGCCUUGGUGAGCCGUUACCUCUCCAACCAGCUAAUGCACCGCAGGUCCAUCUGCAUGCGGGACUCUUGUCCCCUUUCCAAAAAGAGAUGCCUCCUCUUUGCUCAUCCGGUAUCAGCUUCCGUUUCCAGUAAGUUCUCCCGCUCAUGCAGGCAGGUUCCCUACGUGUUACCUCACCCGUUCGCCACUCAUACUCCGAAGACUAUCCGUUCGACUUUGACUAUGUAUUACGGCUAGUGCCGCCAGCGUUCAUCCUGACGCC